CGAGGAGUGAAGCAAUAUCGCAUUCCGCCAGGGUAGCCGUAAAUAAAUGGGGGUGGAGAAAAAAGACGGAUGAGAAGGGGGGGGAAUCUAGAUGGUAGUGGGGGAAACGCUCGGACAAAAAAGAUAUACCGCAUACGUCCUACGGGAGAAAGCAGGGGACCUUCGGGCCUUGCGCUAUCAGAUGAGCCUAGGUCUGUUUAACUAGUUGGUGAGGUAUGGCUCACCAAGGCGACAUCUUUACACCCUUAAAAUGACACCCAAUUGGAAGGAUCAUGGACCCUUCU
rnacentral:rRNA from 1 species